AUGGUUGGAUGAAAAGUUAACUUUCUUUUUUUUAAAAAAAAAAAUUGAUUUUUAGAUCAAAAAGUCUAAAUUUUGGUAAAGGACGAGAAGACCCUAUAGAACUUUAUUUUUCCUAAAAUAAUUAUUUACUCGUAAAUAAUUUUUUUUUAUUUCAGGAAAAAUUUUGUUGGGGUGACAAAAAAAAUUUCAUAACUUUUUUUAUAUUUUUCAUAUAUAUAUGAUUUUUUGACCCUUUAUUAAGGGUAAAAAGAUUAAGUUACCUUAGGGAUAACAGCGUUAUUAUUUUAGAGAGUUCAUAUUGAUAAAAUAGUUUGCGACCUCGAUGUUGGAUUAAAAUUAGUUUCAGGAGUAGAAAAUUGAAUAACUAGGUC
rnacentral:rRNA from 1 species